AUUUAUGUAUUAAGCGCAAUGACAGGGCUAUAUGGAAUCAUAUAGCCCUGUCAUUGCGCUUAAUACAUAAAU